rnacentral:rRNA from 1 species
GCUAGGAUGAACGCUAGCGGCAGGCUUAACACAUGCAAGUCGAGGGGCAACGCGAGUAGCAAUACUUGGCGGCGACCGGCGCAAGGGUGCGUAACGCGUGAGCAACAUGCCCGUAUCAGGGGGAUAAUCCAGGGAAACUUGGUCUAAUACCCCAUAGUAAUUUUGUAAGGCAUCUUAUAAGAUUUAAAGCUUUGGUGGAUACGGAUUGGCUCGCGUGACAUUAGCUGGAUGGUAAGGUAACGGCUUACCAUGGCUAUGAUGUCUAGGGGUUCUGAGAGGAAGGUCCCCCACACUGGAACUGAGACACGGUCCAGACUCCUACGGGAGGCAGCAGUGAGGAAUAUUGGACAAUGGAUGGAAAUCUGAUCCAGCCAUGCCGCGUGAAGGAAGAAGGUCCUAUGGAUUGUAAACUUCUUUUGUAUGGGAGCAAUAAGGCCUACGAGUAGGUUGAUGAGAGUACCAUACGAAUAAGCACCGGCUAACUCCGUGCCAGCCGCCGC